GGCAAGGUGGUCGAGUGGUUAAGACGUAAGACUUGAAUCCUCAUUGGACGAAAUCUUAUCCCUUAGGGGUCGCGCGUUCAAAUCGCGUCCUUGUCG